rnacentral:lncRNA from 1 species
CCCUUUAGCCUUUUGUUCAUAAAUUUUGGUAAUAUUAUUUUCAAGUUCUUCAAUAUCUUUAUCUAAAAAGUUAUUCUCAGAUUCUUGUUCAUCUCUAAUUUUCAAUUUUAUUUCUAAUUUUUUUUCAAGAGUUCGUAAAUUUUCUCUUGUACGUUUGGCUUUAGAUUUACAAUAAGCUAUAGUUGUCUCCCUUACCUUUAUUUUAAAUAUAUCCCAUGCUAAACCAAGAUUUUGUUAAAUUACGAUUACCCUUAAAGCAGCUUUCCAGUUCUUUAUCAACUAAUUUUAUGUAGUCAUUAUCUUCUAAUAUAGAAUUAUUUAUUUUCCAGUACCCCCUUCCCUUUUCUGAUGCACCAGUUCUAAAUCUCAUAAAAACACUUUGAUGAUCCGUAGAAUCAAUAACUGCAGGUUUAAUUUUGCAACAUUCUACUAGUGGUAUGAAGUCUGAACCUAUAAGAAUCAUAUCAAUCCUACUUGCCUGCGAUUUAUCUUUUCUCCGCCAAGUAUAUUGUUGUUUAUUCUUAUUUGAAU